rnacentral:rRNA from 1 species
UACGUAGGGUGCAAGCGUUAAUCGGAAUUACUGGGCGUAAAGCGUGCGCAGGCGGUUUUGUAAGUCUGUUGUGAAAAUCCCCGGGCUUAACCUGGGAAUGGCAAUGGAGACUGCAAGGCUAGAGUUUGGCAGAGGGGGGUAGAAUUCCACGUGUAGCAGUGAAAUGCGUAGAGAUGUGGAGGAACACCGAUGGCGAAGGCAGCCCCCUGGGUCAAGACUGACGCUCAUGCACGAAAGCGUGGGGGAGCAAACAGG